GCUUACGGCCAUACCACCUGAACACGCCCGAUCUCGUCCGAUCUCGGAAGCUAUAAGCAGGGUCGGGCCUGGUUAGUACUUGGAUGGGAGACCGCCUGGGAAUACCAGGUGCUGUAAGCU
rnacentral:rRNA from 1 species